rnacentral:rRNA from 1 species
UACAGAGGUGGCAAGCGUUGUUCGGAAUUACUGGGCGUAAAGGGCGCGUAGGCGGCCUUCUAAGUCAGACGUGAAAUCCCCCGGCUUAACCUGGGAACUGCGUCUGAUACUGGAGGGCUUGAGUGCGGGAGAGGGAUGUGGAAUUCCAGGUGUAGCGGUGAAAUGCGUAGAUAUCUGGAGGAAUACCGGUGGCGAAGGCGGCAUCCUGGACCGACAUUGACGCUGAGGAGCGAAAGCUAGGGGAGCAAACGGG